CGAGGACCUCAGGUCCGGCCGGGGU
rnacentral:rRNA from 1 species